rnacentral:rRNA from 1 species
CCUACGGGAGGCAGCAGUGGGGAAUAUUGGGCAAUGGGCGCAACCCUGACCCAGCAACGCCGCGUGAAGGAAGAAGGCUUUCGGGUUGUAAACUUCUUUUAAGAGGGAAGAGCGGAAGACGGUACCUCUUGAAUAAGCCAUGGCUAACUCCGGCCCAGCAGCCGCCGCAAUACGGAGGUGGCAAGCGUUGUCCGGAUUUACUGGGGGUAAAGGGCGUGCAGCCGGGAAGACAAGGCAGAGGUGAAAUGCCGGGGCUCAACCGCGGAACUGCAUUUGAAACUGUUUUUCUUGAGUGCCGGAGAGGGCAGCGGAAUUCCUUGUGUAGCGGUGAAAUGCGUAGAUAUAAGGAAGAACACCAGUGGCGAAGGCGGAUGACUGGACGGCAACUGACGGUGAGGCGCGAAAGCGUGGGGAGCAAACAGGAUUAGAUACCCCUGUAGUC